CCUACGGGAGGCAGCAGUAGGGAAUAUUGCUCAAUGGGGGAAACCCUGAUGCAGCAACGCCGCGUGGAGGAUGAAGGUUUUCGGAAUGUAAAGCUCUUUUUGUAGAGAAGAAAAUGACGGUAUCUUACAGAUAAGCACCGGCUAACUACGUGCCAGCAGCCGCGGUAAUACGGAGGGUGCAAGCGUUACUCGGAAUUACUGGGCGUAAAGAGCGCGUAGGCGGGAUAGCAAGUCAGAUGUGAAAUCCUAUGGCGUAACCAUAGAACUGCAUUUGAAACUGUGUUGCUAGGGGAUAGGAGAGGUAGGUGGAAUUCUUGGUGUAGGGGUAAAAUCCGUAGAGAUUAAGAGGAAUACUCAUGGCGAAGGCGACCUGCUAGAACAUAACUGACGCUGAUGCGCGAAAGCGUGGGGAGCAAACAGGAUUAGAUACCCGUGUAGUC
rnacentral:rRNA from 1 species